GGAAGUGAGUAGCAGUGCCCAGUGUCACCUACUCCUAACUUAUUUCCCUCGUCUUUCAAAUUUUUGUUUUCUUCUCUGAUUUUGAACAAUCGGAAUUUUUCAAUCCUCUCUUCACCGUUUCUCAUUGAUGUAGAUAGGCUUUGAAAUUGAGGAUUUAGGGUUUCUAUCGCGAAUCGGAUGAACCCAAAUACUAAUUGUUUCUUAUAAUUUUGAAAAUUCUUCUCUGUUUCUAUUGCUUAUUCGUUUAGCACGACUUCAAUUUCUCAUUUGUUCGUGGGUUCAUCAAAUUUAGCCUACGGCAAUUGGUGAUCUAUACUAUAUGGAGAGACGUUUUUAAAAAGGUGACUGGAAUCAGCAUUGGUAAAGCGCAGUUAAAGUUUCAUCCAUUAAGAGGCUGAAGAUUCCAUCCUCAAUUUGCGUGGCAACCUCUUCGUGCUCCUCCUUCAUCCGCUUCUCACUCCAGCCUCGUCUUUCAACUUCUCUAGCACACGCUUGUCUCCUCUGCUCACAUGUUCCGCGUUCGAGCUCUGAUUCUCUCUGUCCCUGUAACCAUCCUUUUGCCUCGCUCACCAAUUGGUCCU